rnacentral:rRNA from 1 species
CGGCUGGCAACUGGACGUGCGAGCGCCGCGCGUUGGGUCCCUUGUGCGAGGCGUGCGUCGUCUCAGUGCACGUCGCGCCCUGCGCCGGUGGCAAACCCUUCCCCAAUCAUCACAGCCGCCACACGCCUCCCUCCUUCCUCCUGGCCCGCACCCCUGCCGCGGCGCCCAUCCCUCCCAUCUUCGCGUUUCUCCUCCUCCCAGGACUACCUCCCGUCGCUUAGGCUCCAUGGCGGCGACCGGCUCGAGGCGAGCCUGGCGCAAGCGGGCGGAAGCGGGUGGGAGAGUGCUGGACGGCGCCGUCAUUGUUCAUUGUCGCACCGCUAAGCCGCAUCGAAGAAGGACCAGGACCUCACCCCUCGUCCCUUCUGGAUGCACCUCCCCACAUGAGUUCCUCCUGCCUAAUUCAGCUCCCUUUUCCAUCUAAUUUCAUUCUUGUUUCACAUGUUGGUUUGGUCGGCAAGAGAAGUUGUGUCGCCGACUGCAGUAGCCAGGAUUGGUGUUGGUGAUGUCUGUAGGUAUUUUUGUGCUUGCCAGUUAAACAAUUCCAGGUUAUGGGAUUGGAUCUCCAUUUUCCAAGAUUCUUAGCUGAUAAGUAUAUUAUGCGGGAAAAUCUCUACGUACUGAUGUUGUGCACAUCCAAAUACAAGCAAUCGAGGAAGAUUUCAUCCUCAACCUCCCUCACGACCCCAGGUUGGGGACAUGGCGUGAAGAUAUGGUUUUGUGAUCUAUGGUCUUGAGUCAUCUGUUGGAUGGGUGAUAAUGGAAAUUUUCUUGACGGCAAACACGUGCAUAAGUUUUGUGAUAGUUAAACCUGUUUUAUGAGAGUUAAAGCUAUUUUUUGAGAGUUAAACAUGUGCAUACGAAUGGAAUUUUUUUAGAACUGGUCAAACUAUUUUUUAUAAGAGUUAAAGCUGUUUUCUUGAGGACAAACCCGUGAAUAAGUCUCAUCUGUAUAGAUUAAUUAAUAGGAUAGCAAUUUAAGUUUAUUGAAGCUCUUUAAGAAGCGAGGGUCUGCUUUGGUUUCUUGUUGUUUGCCUAUUCUCUUAAAAACAGUUGACUGGAUGCAGCCGAGGGUUAUACAUCAAUAAUUUGGGCAGUUGCAUAUGGAAUUUUCAAGUAAAGGAUUUCAGAAAUCUAAUAUGGCAUGCCUAUUUUUCAUGGAAAAAACGAAUGGUGCCUUAUUUACUAUUUAGUUUUUAAGCUAGACUAAUUUGACUACACGCUUCCUGAGGUGCCUUCUGUUUUUGAAUAGUCAUAGAGUGCUCCUGAUUACGAGAUGUUUCUUUGUCACUAUUUGAAUUUCUGCCUUGGGUGGCCUCUGUCUUGGUUUACAGCUCCAUAUGGCUACUUAUGUAUAACAUAUGUAGGUCCUGUUUGAACUGUUCUCAAAUAUGUUUACUACAGAAAAGUGGAAUAUGCAAAGUUUCUGUGUUGAUUAGGCAAAUACUUGCUUUGCCUUAAAGACUGUCCCCAUCUAUGUUCUAGGUUUUUUGGGUAUGAAUUCCAUAUUUCCCUGGAAUGGAUCAACACAUUUGCAUGCGAUUUUAGAAAAAUAUAUGUGAAUGCAUCUUUCUAAUAAAAGUAUUGCUUAAGAAAUACCCUUUUUCUGAAAUCAAAAUUGUUGUUGGUCUUCUGAUCACUUUCAUUGUCUAUCAGAUAGGCUAUGACUUCCAUAAGCUAGCAUCAUUGGGGUGAGGUCGUUGUGUUUAUUUUAUUUUCAAUGCCUUGCAAGUUAGUGGUUCCCAGAAGAUUGUAGCCUACCUUAUUAGCGUCGACUGGCAUAUUUAUCUUUCAUGUCAUUGCUUAACCAUGCCUGGAUGACUGCUAUAUUUAUACAUGCACAAAGUGCUUAUUCCUUUGGUGCUUCCAGAUUAUCAAGGUAUGAGCAGAGCAGCGAGGGAUGAGAAAAGGUGUAACUUAUCUCAGACAUACAGAAAUGAAAAUAAAGCUAUGCACAGAGAAAAGAUGUAGAAUCGAUUGCUGGGCAUGAACUCCUGCAUGGACCACUUUGCUUUGCUUUUGUCACAUUAAAAUUAAUUAUAUUUAGCAAUUUUUGUGUCCACAGCACUAUAAUCCAUCCAUCAUUGUUGGUUCACCAUUCUAAAGGAAAGACUCAUAGAUGCCAUUAGAUAAAGGUCAAAUCUUAGUGUACUUGAAUAUAUAGAUUUGUCUGAUUGUGUUGUAAUCUUAGUUUCCUUUUAUAUUUCUGUAUGAACCUACUAUUAUGUGUCAUUGUGUUGUAGUGUUGACCAUCCGCAGCAAGGGUUAGGCAAAUAUUUAUCCUGUAAAAUGAGUUACCGGUUCUUACCACGUGGUUGUUAUUUUAUUUUCAAUUUUUAUGCAUCACAUGAUUUUUUUAAAGUGAUCUUAAUUCAUGGUCCUUAGUUUACUGAUCGUUCGGCGGCUCUGUGUACCAAUAUAGUGGUGCAUCUAGGAGGAAGGGAUCUAGAGACAGCGAUGGGCAAAACAAUCCUGUGGAGGCAGCAAGAGGCAGUUCUCGACAAAUCACUAUUAAGAGAGAAAAGCAGCGCAAGGGUCCAAUGGAAGAAUUUGGUGAAGAACAAGGUCUCCAUCAUUUGGCGUCAAGGAAGGGAAGACCAUGUCAUCAUUUGGCCAGUCCAGGUCCCCAUGCCCCUGUAUCUUCCCUCGAAGCCGGGUUCCGCGAGCUAAGGUUGCAGGGGAGAAUGAACGUGCAAGUUUGCAGCAUCAAAUGUUUUUCUACAUUUGAUGGGUAGCUAAAUUAGUUUGAUUUCACGGAUGAUGGAGCCUUGCUGUGUGACGUAGUUCCUGGUGAAGAAAUAUUUGUUAGGUCUAUGUAUGUGUGUACUGGAGUUGGUGCAUCUCCAAGGAAGAACGAAACCCUUAUUCCUAUCUUAUCAUAUGCUACACUUAAAUGCAAAGUGUUAGCUAUGUUAACUGCUGUUUCGAUCCCUUGUUUGAAAAUGUGAUUGAUUACAAAUUGCGCAUGCUCAAGUAUAUAUUUGUAAAAAGAAGUCCUCCUUAAUUUUUGAUUAAAAA